GCGUCGGCGAUGCAACGGUUUAGCCCAUGCACCCGGAAAGAGUAAGGUCUGGGUUCAAAUCCCGGCCGAUGCA